UAGAUGAACACUAUUCCUUAUGUAUGUAUGUAUGUAACAACGAUAAAGAAUAAGAAGUCGUAGGGUAAGAUGAGCAGUUCAACGGCAAUAGCAACAUUAUCCUGUAGCAGAAGAAACGUUCGCUUUCUGAUUUGUCAAGCGCUGUGUCCUUUAACUGCUCAGGUAUCGCUGACUACAUACUGACGGCGUGACAAAUCUAGUAAGCGGAUGUUCGUAUAGGGGCAAACGCAAAGUUACCAUCUUCCGUUUACGUAGUAAGCAAUCGACCGCAUACGGCUUCGUUAACGAUAGCGCGAAGUUAGAGGACAAACUACGGGUUAUUAAACAAGUGAGUAAAUCUACUAAGUGAUAGGCUUAGCUUGGUACGGAUACGAAAUUCUAUAGAAGCUGAAUUUCGUGGGUUGCCAAUUUAUUGCACGAAGUGCAAUAAAUAAUUUAUCGGGUGAUCAUGGCAUUGUUACAAUCGAUCGGUUCUUGGUUAUACACACGUGACGCUUAAAAUGUUAUAUAUAUUACUUAAAGCAACGAACGCUUUAAGACGAUAAGCAUAGACAUAUUGAUUGAAUUACGCCGGUUUAACCAUUGACCCAAGGCAUUUUCAGCAGCGUUCAGCUCAGGUCCCAUUGCAAAGCCAUACUACAACGACAACGAUGCAAGAUUACAUCGUUGGUUAAAUCAUUGAUAAUUAGGUUUGAUAUGACAACUAAUCAACGUGAGGUAACCUAUACCUAGGGCGAUAAUAUCAGAGUGUUCUCUAGCUCCGGUAGCCUUCAACUGUCGCGAUGCACUUUUCGGUCUGCUGAUUGAGUACUCCGUGGUCCGGCCAGGUACAGAAAGAAUCGAGCAGAACGUUGUGCAGACAAACGGAACAAGGCUUCAAUCCCCUAAUUCCAUCUAAUGAUAGCUCGGGCAUGCGGGCAUCGCUAUACAGGUUUUCGUCAUUGGUAAAUUUGCUUCACGAUCUUGUAGCCUGUAUAGUACGCGUUCGUGGCUGGAGCAAAGCGUUGCCAUGGCAAACAGAAAUGGCAGAGAACACAUGGACUGACAAAAGAACCCAACCCAGAAUUACAACUCGAACGCUGCAGCGGUGACUUUAUCCACUUACAAGUACAUACAUGGCCAACCGGCUUUCGUUUCUCAUCGUUUUGCCUCGGCCCUUGGCGGAAAACCUAUCCAUAUCUCGACUACAAUGCUAUCAACUGUAACUGACUUUCGAGGCAUCGAAGACUUCAUCGUGGCUUUCAAGUUUUAGACCCAGAAUGUGGACCCACAGUGUAUUAUAGUGGAACCCAAAUAAAAGGCUUUUGUUAUAAAAUACUUGAAUUUCAACUUCCCAAGUAAACUUAAAAUGUCCCGCUGAUUCAAAACAGUUUUUGGUCCAGCCGCUUCCUAUGUCUGAUUAUCUUCAGUCAUCACCGACGGUUGCCCGCCUCUUCAUCAAAUAUAAUGGACACUACAAAGCGUACUAGACAAGACCCGCUAGACCACCACAUGAGUGGACAUCAUCUCGUUUGACUAAAGAUAUUCUGUAUAGAAAAUUACGUUUUCUGUACUGCCCCGAAGAAAGCAACGGUGGCCCUGACGCAUGCUGGCACCCGAAGCCACCGAGGCCAGAGCAGAUAUUUGCGAUUGUCAAGUGAUUGUUUUGACACUGAAGACCGCAUCGUAAUGGGGGAUGCCACCAAACGCUGAAGUCGUUCGUUGUACAUAUGGUUAGUCAGGUUAUUGUGUCGUUUGCUUCAUCGUCAUUUGUAUGUAGUACACACUCGUAUAGAUGGGAAUAUCAACGAAAGUCGAUUAAGGCUGACGCUGGCGUCUGGUGGAGUUCCUCGAAGCGAAUUUGUCGAUGUCCUCAACAUCCUGUACGCUUACAUACAAACGGUGACCAGUCAACAAUAGUAAUACUGUAUAAUACCUCGACUUUAUAUGUUGUUGACUGUAACGUUGUAAGAGUCCCUUUAGUUUGGUUCAUGUUACUACUGCCUAAUAGCAAAGAGGAGGAUGAACUCAUAUUAUAUAUAAGUAUUGUAUAUAAUGCUGACUCUUUUGGACGAAGCCGAGAUUUAUCAGCGAGCCCUAUAUAAGGUCUUCUAUAAUAGUAUUUACUGCUCUAAAUAUUUUUUGCCACUGGAGCAAGAAAUGAUAGGAAAUCAGAGGAAAAAAGCUAGCUGACGCAGGAAAUCGGAAUGAUUGGAUGAUCUAAUGAUGACACCAAGAUAACGUGUUCGCGUGCUAAACCUAGAGACCCGGGCGUGAGUACACUCCGCUGUGUAUCGGAAGGAGCCAGCCGUUGAAUCAAUACAUAAUUAACUAAAAAGCCGAAAAAUUUAAAAACGGACUUACACACACACACGAGCGGAGAUGGAUAAAAAAAAAACAGUGGCCUGAUUCUGCAGAGCCUAAUUCAAGAACGCCAAUCAGCUAAGUAACUGGUGCUAUUGGUUAUUAAAUGUCACCUAUUCAAAUGUAAAAGUAUGUUGACCACUGAGAAAAGAUAUUAGUUAAUCAAAUGCUCUUUCAAGUAACUCACAUAGACAGACUCGAUCGUAGAAUUUAUUCUAUCCUUAAUUAGUAAUACUUGAUAACCACAGUUUCUUUGUAGAUCUUGCUAAUUACAAGGUUGUCUGAGAUGCCUGACUACCCGACGAAUAUUAGUAAUACAUUUAUGCAUAUAAUAAAACAUAUUAUCCUGCCACAUACGCAUAAUGUUUAUGUAGUAUUUGAACCCAAGUGAAUAAGACUAUCUCGUGAGGAUUACCCAUAAUUACAGGAGGGACAUUUUAUCAACGAUCAUGACAAGGGUACCGACUGUCAUGAAGGACAGUUAUACUACUAUAAAUUGGGUAUCACAUCAGCUUAAGUCCAUAACGGCUUUUACCGUAUGUUCUGCUGAGAAGGCCUGUCAGACGCACGCUGGCAGUUCUCACAAACGUCCCAUUGGCGAUUAAUCCCAGUUUCGCUUGAUUUCGCUGGCACAUUUGUUGGAAUAGGACUUAAAUGCAAACGAGACUGAGCUGAAUCACAAUCGCAGUAGUUCCCGCCGCAAUUUUUCGGUAGUUGAGCGAUUCAAAAAGUUCUACGCGCGUGAUUAUAAGUUAGAUAAAAAGGCCUUGAUGACUCGGUGAAGCACGGCCUAGCUGCAAAAAUAAUAUCAUUGUCGGGAUAACCUUGAAAUGCGAAGACAAGCCAAUCCCCUAUACAUAUAGAGAAUAUAAUUAUCUACAGUAUUCAAAAUUUAUAUAAAUCUGUAAUGCAUGCCAUGUUUACACUUCAUAGGCAUAUUACAGUUCUAAUUUGAGCAGAUGGUAAUAUUCGAAAAAGCAUCUGCUAAGAUGAAGAGCCUAUACCUUUCUGUCCUGAAUAACGGUCUCACCUAACCACGUAGUACGAUAUAUAGACAGUCUAAAUAACAGUCCAAUAAAAGGCCGUCCAGUUGCAACGACGGCUUUAGUGUGAGAGAUCGUUACUGGUGACAUCAUGCCUUUGUCUCAACAAGGAAUACCUCUUAUAACUGCGUAAUAUUCAUUGCAUGUAAGUGUAGUCCAAAUUAUCUCACGCCUCCUUUCUGACCCUCACCAUAGCCCCUUUAACAGUGACUAGUACUCCCGGAUAUAGAAGCCGCACGAAAGGGGUUGCGUGGUCGAUUACGAUAUAGUACACAACAAGCGGCUCCUGUAUCAUACUGUCCAUAAACACGAGCCAAAGGGACAAAAGCGGAGCUAGAUAAGCAAUUCCGCCUAAUAGGCUCUGUCCAAAUCCUGUCUGGAUAACAGCGAUAGGGGUAACGGAUAAUUUCAGUUUGAGAUGGCUAUCUCGAACAUUAUCACAUAAGAAACUAAGCCUGCACCGUGGUAGGCUAAGUCCGAGUUAUGUUGUAUACAGUCACGUGCAUGCACGGGCAGACCUCACAACCAAAGACGAAGAGAUCUACGGAGAUGUUUACGUAUUCAAAAAUGCGAGCAGACAUAAGCACACAUACACACGAAUAAACAGAUGAAGGGAGCCGUAUGUACGUAGAAACGGCCGUGAGCGAGUCGUGCACUCUGGCUCCGCUGUGUAAAGCACACAAAGUUGUUGAGACUGAUGUUUUUCAAUCAUAUAUGAAUGUUUAUUAUACAGGUACGUGCAGGAAAGUUUUCAUACAUGCACGUGCAAGCCGAUGCUCACAGCAGACAAGUCUUGCACUUACUCCAAUUACUGUGGAUUGUAAAAGUACCGCACCUGGCGUCGCACGAAAGGUUGCACAGCAACGGUGCUGAAACUUUGCAACAAACACCGACUGUCUGCACGUUGUCAGUCCACCACCACAAACAGCCCUCUCUCACGUUCCCCAUUUCUUUAAUUAAUUCAGGCAUCGCAGCCAGAUACAGCUGGCGAUUGCGUGAAAGAUGGAGACACCAGCGGCGGGGCGGCAAGCACUUGACGGGGCAGAAGGCCGAAUAUGACCCACCGCGCUCGGGCAGUGCAAAUCGUGGCGCGUCAUUCUAAAUGUCGCAGACGCUCAAGCAGGCGUCGGCGGCAGCCACAGCAAGAAGUAUUCUUUGCGUGGCUCCUGCAACUCUCCAGCUCAUUCGCUGGUACCCGAUUGUCGCGUGGCUACUUCACGCAGACGAUGCUGCUGACACUCGCGUUGCUAUGUCUGAGUCCCUGUUAUCGUUGGCCUUUACUGCCAGCAGCUGUUUCCCGAUGCGGCGGUGGCUGUUGCUUCUGCUAGACGGGGAUGAGAGGGGCUGGGGGCGGCACCGGAGGCAAUUGCUGGUUGGACCACGUUGGAGCUGUCUUCAGUCGUUUGUGUGACUA